UACGUAGGCGGAAGAUUAAGUCAGUGGUGAAAUCCUGCAGCUUAACUGUAGAACUGUCAUUGAUACUGGUUUUCUUGAAUAUAGUUGAAGUAGGCGGAAUGUGUAAUGUAGCGGUGAAAUGCUUAGAUAUUACACAGAACACCGAUUGCGAAGGCAGCUUACUAAGCUAUGAUUGACGCUGAGGUACGAAAGCGUGGGGAGCGAACAGGAUUAGAUACCCUGGUAGUCC
rnacentral:rRNA from 1 species